rnacentral:tRNA from 1 species
GGCUCCGUAGCUCAGCUGGAUAGAGCAACAGCCUUCUAAGCUGUGGGUCUUGGGUUCGAAUCCCAACGGAGUCA